AGUGAACGCUGGCGGUAGGCCUAACACAUGCAAGUCGAACGGCAGCACAGUAAGAGCUUGCUCUUACGGGUGGCGAGUGGCGGACGGGUGAGGAAUACAUCGGAAUCUACUUUUUCGUGGGGGAUAACGUAGGGAAACUUACGCCAAUACCGCAUACGACCUACGGGUGAAAGCAGGGGAUCUUCGGACCUUGCGCGAUUGAAUGAGCCGAUGUCGGAUUAGCUAGUUGGCGGGGUAAAGGCCCACCAAGGCGACGAUCCGUAGCUGGUCUGAGAGGAUGAUCAGGCACACUGGAACUGAGACACGGUCCAGACUCCUACGGGAGGCAGCAGUGGGGAAUAUUGGACAAUGGGCGCAAGCCUGAUCCAGCCAUACCGCGUGGGUGAAGAAGGCCUUCGGGUUGUAAAGCCCUUUUGUUGGGAAAGAAAAGCAGCAGGUUAAUACCCCGCUGUUCUGACGGUACCCAAAGAAUAAGCACCGGCUAACUUCGUG
rnacentral:rRNA from 1 species